GGCAAGACAGAGCUGUCAAUCUGCUUGCUGUCUGAAUGUAAAUAUUUAGGAAUAAUUAAUUGAUAAUCAUGCUCAUGUAUUAUCUAGAAGUAAAUUGUGAAAUAAAAAAGAGAAACCCCACCUCAAGUUGCCCAGCUGAUUAAAAAUGCCAUCUCCUUCCCCUAACAUAUUCCCUCUCCCCUGGGGGUUUGAGUUUCUUCUGUUGGCUACUUUGCUGGUUGUGGAAAUACUACAGUAUAAUUGUCCCUCAGAUGAUUCAUGCAGCAAUCAGGAGACUACCAGCAAGGAAACUCUAAAAGAAAUCCCGGAAGUGGAACUAGUCACUUGUAAAGGUGUUCCCAUUUUGCCAGUCUGAUGCUAAUUGGACCACUGCUAACCUGAUCUUCAAUACCAACAACAUCGUGGUACCCGUUUCACCACCUCAAAAACUGCACAAAUACCAACAACCCAGAAACCCAAAACUUCAUUGAUUAAAACAAAUUUUAUAUUCUCCUAGGACCUGCUCCAAAUUCCAUCAAGAAAAGCUCCCAGAGAAAAGAAGUUAACAAGAUAACAUAUGACGGAUGCUAAAUGUUUAAAUAUAUGCCGGCAGCGGUUACAUAAGGCCUGCUCAGUUCUGAGAUCUAUAAUUGGGAGGGUAUAACUAGGACAGAGAAAAUAUAAAAUAAAAGUAAUCUUCCAGAAUGGAACAAAAAAGGAAAAAAUUCAUCCCACAGUCGUAAAACCAUUCAUGUGCAGUGAUUUUUUUUAUAGUUUUAUAAUUUUGUAUUGUUUUAUAAAUUAUUUAUAAGGUGUUGUAAUGCUUCUUAUAUUAAUUUUUUACAGAUAAAUUUUUUGCUACAAGGCAUAAAAUGGUGCCUGAACAGAUUCUUAGGAAUAUAAAUUAUACUAUGUAACUCAUAAGUCUUUGGGACCACACCUAUUAUUUAAUUUUAUGAUGACAUUUCUUAUUUCCACUUGUAAACAACUUCAUAUGCCAAUAGCAUUUAAGUGUCUUUUAUGUUUCCAUGAACUGAAGGUUAAGGUUACCACCAACAAAAAAAUAAAAGCCACUUUGGGCAUAUGCGAUUGUAUUUCAAGCUUCAAUAUUUUUCUCACGUAUUUUUAUAUUAUUGCCAUCUUCAUUUUCUUCAUUAUUUGAUGAAAAACAUGACAAUGUAUGUUAUAUUUUACUUUUGAUUGUGUGUUUUCUUUUCUUUUUCAACCAAAAAAAAAUAUUUUGAACAGUUAAAAGUUUUAAUUGCAUUUGCAAGGUUUCGGUUUCUUUAUGUUGUAAUCACACAGAUACACACACACACAAUGCAACACAACACAAAAGAGAGAACAAAAAAGCAAAAGGAGCUAGAAAAGAAAAAAAAAAAAAACAAGUAGAGGCGUAUCAAAGAACUCAAGCUAUAACCAAAAAGAAAUCGUAAAAUGCCUUUGCUCGUUUCUCUACGCUGGACCAAAGUUCAAUAUUUGUAGGUAUAUGCACAUUGUAUAGAUAUGGCUAAAUGUUGCUGACAAUCUCGCAAUACUAAACUGUUCCUAUUUUAAGAAAAAAAAAGAAAUACAAACUGUUCAUCAGUGUUUUACCUCAGCACUCUACUUGUACCCAGUUAAUGACCAAGCUUAAAAAAAAAAAAAAGGAGAAAAGGAAAUUGAUUUUCAUGUCAAUGUUUGACUGUAAAAUCUGUUUGGAUAACAUUUUGUAAUGAGCUUUUUGUCAUGUGAUUUGCUUGUCUUCAACUUGAAAUUAUGUGAGGCACAUUUGUUUAUUUGUUAUUAAGAAAGUGAUUUUUUUUUCUUGUCCUAUGUGCUAUGAUCUAGACUGGUCACCAGGGUCACUUAUGAGGCACCACAAAGAGAUCUGCUUUCUCCAUGCUUGGAGGAGGCAGCAGGAAGGGGGGCAGGAAAACAGACUGGGUUGUUUUGGAAAAAUCAUCAUGACAAGAAGUUGACAUGAUAGACUUGUGACCAAGAAGCCAAACUGGAUAUUUCAAAGCUCCUUACUUGCUCUGACAUUGAAACCAAAGCUGAUUUAUCUGCACAGGUUGCUUAAUGUUAAAAAAAAAAAAAAAAGUAACUGUACUUUAUCUAGAGCAAUAUCUGUAUGGUCAGUAAAGCUGCACUUUGUGUAUUUCUUAACAGCUUCAGAUCUGUCACUUUUAAUUUGUAGCAUAAAAAAUAAAGAAUUGUUUGACAUGA